AGCGAACGUUGGCGGUGUGGAUUAGGCAUGCAAGUCGCGCGUGAAAGCCUUCGGGCGAGUAAAGCGGCGAACGGGUGAGUAACACGUAAUCAACCUACCCCUGAGAUCGGAAUAACCACUGGAAACGGUGGGUAAUGCCGAAUGGUCCCACGAGAAGGCAUCUUCAUGUGGGUAAACGGUACGUUGCUCAGGGAGGGGAUUGCGGGCUAUUAGCUAGUUGGUGGGGUAACGGCCUACCAAGGCGAUGAUGGCUAGCGGGUCUGAGAGGAUGAUCCGUCACACUGGGACUGAGACACUGCCCAGACUCCUACGGGAGGCUGCAGUCGAGAAUCUUCCGCAAUGGGCGAAAGCCUGACGGAGCGACACCGCGUGUAGGAUGAAGGCCUUAGGGUUGUAAACUACUGUCACGCUAUAGGAAUACUGACCAAAGCGAGAGGAAGCGCCGGCUAACUCCGUGCCAGCAGCCGCGGUAACACGGAGGGCGCAAACGUUGCUCGGAAUCACUGGGCAUAAAGCGCACGUAGGCGGCCGUCUAAGUCGGGUGUGAAAGCCCUCGGCUCAACCGAGGAACUGCACUCGAUACUGGAUGGCUUGAGGACGGUUGGGGUGAGUGGAACUCCAGGUGGAGCGGUGAAAUGCGUAGAUAUCUGGAGGAACACCAGUGGCGAAAGCGACUCACUGGACCGUAACUGACGCUGAGGUGCGAAAGCUAGGGUAGCGAACGGGAUUAGAUACCCCGGUAGUCCUAGCCGUAAACGAUGGGCACUAGGUAGGGGGUUUGCCUAUGGAACUCUCUGCCGUAGCAAAUGUGUUAAGUGCCCCGCCUGGGGAGUACGCUCGCAAGGGUA
rnacentral:rRNA from 1 species